AGGGGCGGGAGGGUUGGAAUCUUGCUCCCAGCAGAGUUCGACCGAGCGAAGGCAGAGACUUGGAAGGGAGGGGGAACCCCGGCCUCAGCGACUACUGGGCACGGGUGGGAGGAGGGGUCCCUCCCUCUUAGCCCGGGUGGGAGGGAUCUGCGCUGGUGUUCAAGUGUCCUGCCUCUUCUACCCUCACCAUCGGCCUUUGCUGCUGUCAGUUGAGCGCAGUGUCCCCACCCCUUACCCUUUUCCCUGCCUCCCCACCGGUGGCCUCUGCGGCCCGCCCCGUCCACAGUGGAGGAGCUGAGACCUUCUCUGAAACUCAGCCAGAGCCUUUUCCUCCAACAAGGGCAGGGAGGGGGGAGGAAGGUUGUUGGGCUUUGGAGAGGGAUCCUGGGAUCUGUAGUUCGGAGGAUGGUACAGCCUAUGUCUGCUUUACAGGCAGCCUGGCUAAGGGGAACUACGGGGGUGGAUGCAUAGCUGCCAAAGGAGGUGAAGUUGGAGGAGGCCCUAGAGAGGAACCAGAGAGGGAGGCUCUCCUCAGGUAUGAAGCUGAAAUUUACAGAUAAAGCAAUGAAGAAGAAGCAGCAAGUUUCCUAGCCAGUCUUGUAGAAACUCCCAUGUAAUGUUCUACAGUCAUUAACAUAUGCAGAAAUAAAUCAGCAGGAUGUCCCCCCACCCUCUCCAAAGACAAUAGCUUUGCACCUGUUGAAGACAAAUGAAAUUGGGCAGAUUUUUCUUUUUCUCGCACUGUAAGCAUUUUAUAAGUCAGGCACAGUGGAAAAUCAAUGAUCCAAACCAAACUGAAAUGCGUGUUGUGUUGCUUGACUUGGUCAUGUAACUGAUUGAAAUUAAAAGUAUUCUAGGGAUAACCUUAUGUUCUAGUGGCAGUGCAAUGCACAGUCAUGUAAGAGAUCAGUAUUUAGGGCCAGAUCCACAAAAGGAUUAGGUGCCUACAGCUCAGAUUAGGCACCUAAGUCCCUGUUGUGGGCAUCACUGUGAUCCACAAAACCCCUGCUCAGCUGCUGCCUAACCCUGUAGGUGCCUAAAUUCACUUGGUGCCUACGUUUUUGCUGUAAAAGUUCCCUAGGUAUCUAAGUUUCCGCUACUGAACAUGCACAAUGCUGCCUUUCUCUAGGCAUCCAUAUGCCUGUCUCUCACUGAAGCUCCAGGGCAAUCCAAUGCAAUCCAGUGCAGGAGAAGAUAGGCAUUCCUCUGCCAGGUGUGCUCUGAGCGUGUCUCACUCCUCACAAAAUGGCCAGGAGAGAGGAGUCCUCCCUUUAGCCCACCGUUUAAGGUGUUCACUCAGGAGGUGGGAGACCCUGGUUGAGUUUCCUCCUCUGCCUUAUAAGAAGGCAUUUGAACAAGGGUUCCUCGCUGCUCAAGGGAGUGUCCUAACCACUGGGCUAUGGGACAUUCUGAUGUGGGGCUUUCUCCAUGGCUUGAAGUCGCUCCACUUUCAUUAAAUCAUUCAGUAUUAAUUGGGCCAGAGAAAGAAUGAGAAUCACUCUAUAGUCCAACAGUUAGGGCUCUCACCUGAGAGCUUGAGAACCCCUGUUCAAAUCCUUUCUUCUGAUCAACCAAGGGGAGGGGGUAAAUUGAAUCAGGAUCUCCCACAUUCCAGAUGAGGGCCCUAACUAGUGGCAUAAAAGCUGUAAGGGAAUCUUUCUCCCACUCCACCCUCAGCCAUUUUGUGUGGUGCAAGGAUGCACUGCUCCCUAGAGACACCAGCUGGCAGGUAAACAAUGCUCCAGAAAAAGCCAUGUCCAGCCAUGUUCACCAAACAGAAGGUUACUGCAACAUGGGGCACUGGGUGAGAAGUAAAAAGGCCAAGAGUUAGCAAUAUGAAAACAAACAUCUUGAGGUUUUUCUAUUUCAGUAUGAAAAUCGUGUGCGUGUCAGAGAAGGUUGGUCACAGAACCUUUUCAUAUAAUAGAGCAAUUUGGAUAAUUGAGUUUAUAAUGUAAUUAUACUCAUGUCCUUUGCCAACUAGAAUUUUUGUUGCUAUUUUCCCCCCUACCUUCUACACCUCCAUGCUUAAGCAAUGCUCUGUGUAACUGAUAUUUUGAAAAUAAAAUGAGGAAUUGAAAAAUUAACUUAAAAUGUUUGAAGGAAGGGGAGAAGGUGUUAGAAUGCCAGGAUGGGAUAAGAUGCAUUUAUCUGAAGGUCAUUUAUCUGAAGGUCUCACUAACAGAUUAACCCAAAAAACUAAGCUACAAAAGCUAUGCAACUCACAUAAAAUCAUGUAAAUAGGGAACAACGACGAAUUAAACGAAUUUGUUCAAAAAAUCUGCAAUGACUUAUUGACAAUGCAAUACGAUUCAGCAGUCAAACUCCACAAAGAAAGAAACCAGUAGAAAGAUGUUGGUUGGCAAAUAUCUAUCUAAUGACCCCAAACAGGACUGAAAAUUCAUCAGAGAUUCUACCAGCAAGAGACAGUGAGAACAUGUGAGCAAAUGCCCUUUCCAACAUGGUCUUAAACUAAAACUUCACACACUAGAAUCCACGCUCAGCAAUUCGUGGAGCUUGGCUUUGUUAACAUAGAAAUUAACAUUACUACAACAUAGAAUCAUAGAAUCAUAGAAUAUAAGGGUUGGAAGGGACCCCAGAAGGUCAUCUAGUCCAACCCCCUGCUCGAAGCAGGACCAAUUCCCAGUUAAAUCAUCCCAGCCAGGGCUUUGUCAAACCUGACCUUAAAAACCUCUAAGGAAGGAGAUUCUACCACCUCCCUAGGUAACGCAUUCCAGUGUUUCACCACCCUCUUAGUGAAAAAGUUUUUCCUAAUAUCCAAUCUAAACCUCCCCCACUGCAACUUGAGACCAUUACUCCUCGUUCUGUCAUCUGAUACCAUUGAGAACAGUCUAGAGCCAUCCUCUUUGGAACCCCCUUUCAGGUAGUUGAAAGCAGCUAUCAAAUCCCCCCUCAUUCUUCUCUUCUGCAGGCUAAACAAUCCCAGCUCCCUCAGCCUCUCCUCAUAACUCAUGUGUUCCAGACCCCUAAUCAUUUUUGUUGCCCUUCGCUGGACUCUCUCCAAUUUAUCCACAAUGAAGUGGAUUUUAAAUGAAGUGCAGUUUAAAGUGUCUGUCCAUGCUUGGAUGCUCAAUGGUCCUUCCCUCAGAACUAGAUAUCCCACACAGUUUUUCUACAGAGAGCCACACUCACUUCCCUCAUAUCUAGGUGGUACAAUGAACUACUUGAUUCUGUCAUGAAAGGGUUAACACCUGCUAACAGGCUGGGGUAUUUCAGGCAAAAACUUUAUUUAAUUAAAGAAAGAUUUCUUCAGUGUGCUUGUGCAGUCAAAACUCUUGUCCCUAUCCCACACCAUGGAUGAAAAUCUAAUACAUUUGUUCAUAAAGAUUAGGUCAGCCAAUCAGAUAAAAGGCAUUAUGCUGGUCCGUCACACAGCUCAGAUACUGAAUAUUGACAAUGUGAAUGAAUACUCACAGUGAACAGUUUACUAGCAAUCCAUAGAUUGACAUUUGUUUGCACAAAACAUUUAUCAAACUGUUGCAAAUAGCGAACAAAUCAGUAAAAGUCUCAAUCUGCCCAUGGACAAUUUGUGAUCGGACAUGAGGGCGAAAUCUGGCAAAUAAAUGGUUUCUGCAAUUUGAUUCACCGGCCUCCACUGGAGACCCUUACACUCCACCAUGAGGGAUUUCAUUUCACCAUGUGUUCUGUAAUACAAAAUUAUGUGCUCAUUUGAAUUUUAUUCUGAUUUCCUAAUCUUUUGCCUCAUAAAUAAGUUCCAAUCAUUUGUGCAAUAAAUUGCAACAGUC